rnacentral:misc_RNA from 1 species
AGUCUUCUAUUUCACAAUAUAUAUCUACUGGGAACCUUGAGCUUUUGAGCAGCGGGCUGCUGCAACUUUUAGCAGCUCUCAGUGAAAUGAUUGAUGGCAGGCAACAGCUUUGAUCUGAAAUAAAAGAUUUCCCCCCAACCCCUGACUUGCAUUUGCCUUAUAAGUUAUACAAACAUGCUCUCUAGUGAUCGAAUGGUUCUCUUUCCCGGGGUCAUUUGUACUUCCUCGAACUUAUACCAUCACCUCUAACCUCCAUCAGCCUAGACUUGGAAGCUCUAUCCGUGACUGUAUCGGCGAGGUCUCUUGAGGGUCG